rnacentral:SRP_RNA from 1 species
GCCAGGUGUGGUGGCGCAGGCCUGUAGUCCCAGCUACUCAGGAGUCCGAGUGGGGAGGAUGACUUGAGCCCGGGAGGUCCGGUGCUCUGCGCUGAUUGUCCGAUACACUACACUCAGCAUCCACACAGCGACCUCCCAGGAGUGGGAGACCCCAGGUCACUUAAUAAGAGUGAACUGGUCCAGGCUGGAAAUGGAGGAGGUCAAAACUCCUGUGCUGAUUAGUAGUGGGAUCAUGCCCGUGAAUAGCCACCACACUCCAGCCUGGGCAACCUCGCGAGUGAGUCCCCCAUCU